GACGAACGCUGGCGGCGUGCUUAACAUAUGCAAGUCGAACGGAAAGGCCCUGCUUUUGUGGGGUGCUCGAGUGGCGAACGGGUGAGUAACACGUGAGUAACCUGCCCUUGACUUUGGGAUAACUUCAGGAAACUGGGGCUAAUACCGGAUAGGAGCUCCUGCUGCAUGGUGGGGGUUGGAAAGUUUCGGCGGUUGGGGAUGGACUCGCGGCUUAUCAGCUUGUUGGUGGGGUAGUGGCUUACCAAGGCUUUGACGGGUAGCCGGCCUGAGAGGGUGACCGGCCACAUUGGGACUGAGAGACGGCCCAGACUCCUACGGGAGGCAGCAGUGGGGAAUAUUGCACAAUGGGCGGAAGCCUGAUGCAGCAACGCCGCGUGCGGGAUGACGGCCUUCGGGUUGUAAACCGCUUUCGCCUGUGACGAAGCGUGAGUGACGGUAAUGGGUAAAGAAGCACCGGCUAACUACGUG
rnacentral:rRNA from 1 species